UACGGAGGGUGCAAGCGUUGUUCGGAAUUACUGGGCGUAAAGGGCUCGUAGGCGGCCAACUAAGUCAGGGGUGAAAUCCUGGAGCUCAACUCCAGAACUGCCCUUGAUACUGGCGGUCUCGAGUCCGGGAGAGGUGAGUGGAACUGCGAGUGUAGAGGUGAAAUUCGUAGAUAUUCGCAAGAACACCAGUGGCGAAGGCGGCUCACUGGCCCGGUACUGACGCUGAGGUGCGAAAGCGUGGGGAGCAAACAGG
rnacentral:rRNA from 1 species